rnacentral:sRNA from 1 species
UUUGGCGCCUGCGCCCUGAGUGCGUGCCGCUCCGCCGACCGAAGAGGCUGGACAUGACACCAGUGGCAUAUCACGGCCAUGGGGUCUCAGCAUUCCGCUGCUGCUCGCCCCUCCUCCUGCAGGCGAAAGCAAGAAGAUGACAGGGACGGUUUGCUGGCUGAACGAGAGCAGGAAGAAGCCAUUGCUCAGUUCCCAUAUGUGGAAUUCACCGGGAGAGAUAGCAUCACCUGUCUCACGUGCCAGGGGACAGGCUACAUUCCAACAGAGCAAGUAAAUGAGUUGGUGGCUUUGAUCCCACACAGUGAUCAGAGAUUGCGCCCUCAGCGAACGUGAGUUACCUGCUUCUCACCUGUUAAUACCUACUUCUGUCCCUAAUCUCUUUCUCUAUGUAUGAAUGCCAGUUAAUUCUUUGAAAACUACACAUGUUCUUAUAAGUUCCCCAUUUUCCUUAUAACUGUUUGCCCAAGCAAGAUAUCUCUGCCCCCAUCACAAUCUGGGGAAAGAAACUUGAAGCUGGAAAUGCUUUGAAGGUCAAGGAAUGGAAUCAGAAGAAACUGGGAAAGUGGAGUGUUCUGGGAGGUGUGGGACUAUCUCUGUCCACAUAGCUCCUUUCUUCAGCUUUUCUUCCCAGAGUGCAAACAGUGUUUAAAGGAGUUUUAAAAGGUUUCUCCUGCUUCACUGCUUCUUAACUGGUUUAUGGUUCCAAGCUCUUGGAACUUCCCUUUCAACUCCCUUCUCUUUCCUGGUUUUGUGUUUAAUCUUGACACAUUGAACCUUGAUAUCUGACUGCCUGGGUCGGUCAUGUGCUGUGUCAUUUGCAGUAAGCAAUAUGUCCUCCUGUCCAUCCUGCUUUGUCUCCUGGCAUCUGGUUUGGUGGUUUUCUUCCUGUUUCCGCAUUCAGUCCUUGUGGAUGAUGACGGCAUCAAAGUGGUGAAAGUCACAUUUAAUAAGCAAGACUCCCUUGUAAUUCUCACCAUCAUGGUAAGCCUUAGGGUUUCAUUCCCUGGGUUGUGCACCUGCCAGGCUGGGACCCAGGACACUUACACUUGUUUCCUGACUUGCCCUGAUGUAGGCCACCCUGAAAAUCAGGAACUCCAACUUCUACACGGUGGCAGUGACCAGCCUGUCCAGCCAGAUUCAGUACAUGAACACAGUGGUCGGUACAUAUGUGACUACUAACGUCUCCCUUAUUCCACCUCGGAGUGAGCAACUGGUGAAUUUUACCGGGAAGGCCGAGAUGGGAGGACCGUUUUCCUAUGUGUACUUCUUCUGCACGGUACCUGAGAUCCUGGUGCACAACAUAGUGAUCUUCAUGCGAACUUCAGUGAAGAUUUCAUACAUUGGCCUCAUGACCCA